GUUUCCAUCUUCAUCUGUUCAAAGCAAUCAUGUGGAGCUUCUGGGUCUGGUUCUGCAGGAGGCACAUCUUCACAUAUCUCUGCCUGAUAUCGGGGGUAACCGAUUGUUUUGUAAUUUAUGGUCUUCUUAGUGACCCGUCACUGUGAGUUGGUUGUGUGUUGCAGUGCUCCAUUCCUUGGCCAUUGGCCCAGGUUCUUUCCAUGAGAGAUUUGGAGACUUGGUGAAAGAAACAUGGGGAACAGCCACCUCCCAAUGGCGAUACAAAUGUGAUACCUCCAUCGGUAGACAGACUAGGAUGACAAUGUUUCCUUUGGAGUCACAGAAUAGGUCUGUCAGCGUGAUCUGCACCUCCACCAGGCUAAGCAAUUCUUCUUCAUAGUAUGAGUCAGGACCUGGAGUAUCUCAAAACCACAGGGUGCAAUGUAGUUGUGUUUCAGGUUGUUCAUCAUGCGGAAUUGUGGGCUUUUCAAUUUGCAGUCCCAUGUAAACAUCAGGAUGUAUAUGUAUACUGUACCAGUAUUGUGGAACUCCCCCCUUGGGAAGGGGCAGAAGAGUGGCUGGAUUCAGAGUAUAACAUCGUUGCAGAGUAACGUUGUCUGGUAAAAGAAGAGAAGUUUGAAGGCGAAGGUGUCUCUGGCAAGAGAGGUGUUUCGGUUGGACUUGGUUCAGAAUGGCAGCGAUGUCAUGUGGAGCCAGAACAGUCAGUUUAUGUCCAAGAAAAAAAUCAUUAGUUUUAUCCAGGAGGGCACUUGCAGCAAAGACAGCAUGCAAACAGGAAGGACCCCCUCUGGCUACGGGGUCAAGCAUGCAGGAAAAGUAUCCUAUGGGGCGUUGACGGGGCCCAUAAGACUGAGUAAGGACCCCGGAGGCAUGGCCCAUCUUCUCAGAAACAAACAGUUUAGACGGCAACUCAUAGUUAGGGAGGCCCAGAGCAGGGGCUGAAGAUAUUGCCCUUUGUAGAGUAA